CAGUAAAGACCCAUGGAAAUGUUCUUGCUGCUGACGCUGUUUGGAACACAUCUGCAUCACAAUAGCCUUCUCGCCUUCCACAGUGCAGGAUCCGCCGAGCUUGCAGCUGCGAGGGGAGCAUUUCAAAGGGGCCAUUCUCAUUAUACAGAGCCUUCUCUUUCUUUGAACUUCAAAGCAGAAUGAGGAGACCUUAAAUGAUAUGGGGUUUCUACCACGGGUGAGCAUUUGCCUUGAAAGGAAUGAGCUGGUUGAGAGAUGAGGAAGCUGAAGGAAGGAAUAUCUUUCCAGAUCUCAGAUUCUAGGAAUACAGCACUAGGAUGCCCAGCCACGUAGUCAGGGAGUACAGCAACACGAGUGGUCCAGACCUACAGAGCUCUUGCCACUAGAGAAGCAUUUCCCUCCGUGGAGUAGCUCGAAGCGGUACUUACAUGGAGCAGCUCUGGAUUCAACAUACAGUUUGGAGCUGAGCUCAGCCUAGAAAAGCCAACCCUCAGCCAACCUUCAGACUUCUGAGCAAGCAAAAACUAUUGUUUGAAGUUCCAUAGUUUUGGGGUGGACAUUAAUGCAUUAUUGUGUCAACAGCUAAUACUGCAUAGAUAUUCUGUAUGUGUUAGGUACCGUUAGAAUCCAGAAGGAGUGAUAAUCAAUCUUGUUUUCAGGACAAGGGUAAGAAAGAUUUGAGAGGAAGUAAUUACUGAGUCAGUCUUUUUGAAAACUAAAUAAAAGAUUACCUGGUCGAUAAGAUGGGGAGAGUAUUUGGGCAAAAGAAAUUAUACGAGCGGAGGGCUUCAUGAAAGUGCGAGCAGCAGCUGGGAAGGCGCAAAUAGCUCAUUGGGCAGAAAGUAUGUGGAGAGCAACUUAAAACGAGUUUUUAAAAGAGAGUAAUUACACCUUGCGUUCGCAAAGAACGCUUCAGCUUAAUGAACAUUUUUGCGCAUGUUCUCUUGUGCAGUGCUCAUGAUAUCCCUGAGGCAACGCUCUGUAGAGUCCGGGAGAACCUUGGUUAGAAUCUGAGUGUUGCGGCCUUGGGAAAGUCCGUCUGAACAUCUCUCAGCCUCAGCUUUCUCCUCCAUAGAAUGGUGUUACUCUCGAGAUCAAAAGAGAUGAAGUAUGUACAGUGCCUGGUGUGCAAUAGGUGUUUAAAGUCUACCUGUGCCCACCCCAUUUCACCUCUGAAGAAACAGAGACUCAGGUCAAGCAACUUUUCCAUAUGUCACAUUGCUAAGAAGUAGCAGGUUUGGGGCCAUGAUUCACGUUUUAGGGCUCUCCCAUUGAUGCCACGGCUUUGUUUGACAACACUGAGAGAAGAGGUCAAACUUGGGGAUGGGUCGGUGGAAAUAUGAAGAAAUCAUCUUUUUGCUGUUUUUUGUUCCCCUUCAGCCAUCCUGGAAGCAGUGCCCCAGGGAAAUGCGGAAUCUAGACCACAUGGAGCAUUAGCACCAAUCAAUUGCCAAGAAGUGAAAAGCAGGAGGGGAGUAUUUCGGUUGAUGAAGCCAAAAAAGUAGAAGUCACCCUCCAUUUCUGCCUUUUCCCUACCUCCACUUGCCAACCUCUCUCUCUCCUGUGGAUGGAUCUGUCUUGGAUCUGGCUGCUUCUCUCCAGCCGACCCCGUGCUACUCAGUCACUACCUUGGCCUACAAAGCCCCCUGUGAGGUCUCGCUCUUGUCUACUUCUCCAGUCUCGUCUCCUCUUUCACCACUCUGCUUUUUUGGAAUGCUUUGGCCACACGGCUUCCUUUCUGACAUUUGGUCAUACCAGUUCUUUCCCUCUUGAGGGCUCUUCUAUUUGCUCUCUGCGUGGGAUGAUUUUCCCAAGCUUUUCAUCUGUUAUCAAGGAAAUAAAUACGACAAAUGACAAUG